ensembl:lncRNA LINC00486 long intergenic non-protein coding RNA 486
CCUUUUUAUUAUUCUGACUUAUAAACUGCAGUGACCUCUGAGUCAACUUCGCCAUCUCUUGGCCCUGUGCCAACAUUGUGUUCUGUGAAAAGAGAGUCCUGCCAAGGGCUACGAGGCAGAAAACUGAUAUUAUUAAAGUGGUCUUCUGAACGCAACUCUCUGCAAGGUCCUAAGGGUUCUAAGUUGAAUAAGGCCCACUCCCUCCCUUCCAGGACUUUAGCUGAGGUUGGUUGGGGCAGAAGUCGGGCAAGACUCAUCGGAACGGAUUAACAGAGACAGAAUCCAGAGGCAACGGGGUGAAUUCCAAGUAUAGAAAAGACACACUUGGUCUGAGGGUAUGUUUCAGCUCAGGCAUGCUGCCAUCAGGACCACGUAAAGCUGGAUUUUUCUACGCUAGUCCAUUUGCACGAUCUGGACUCAGAAGAGAUUUAAGUUUCAAAUCUGGCUUUGUCAGUUAAUGCUUGUGGGAUCUCAACCACGUCACUGACUUCUCUGAGCAUGCUUCCAUAUUUCUACAAAGGAAACAAUAGGUGACUCUGCUGAGUUGAGCACUUGCGAGUACCAAGCAGUGAGGACCUGAGGCACAGAUGCUAACCAGCUUGCUGGAGAUCACACACUCAUGAGUGGCAGAGUGGGGCUUGGAACCGGGUAGCCUGGCUCUGGAGCCCUCACUCCAUCCACACACCAUGCUGGGACCCAGUCGAGUGACCAGCAGACCGGUUGUGUGGGUUAGGUGGAAUGGUGGAUAUAAACCACACAGCCCAGCUCCUGACCCAUGCUGGGCCCUCAUUCCUCCUGAAUUCCUUCUCAUUCCUGCCGCCUUCUGAAGAAGGUGCCUUGCUUCCCCUUCACCUUCUGCCGUGAUUGUAACUUUCCUGAGGCCUCCCCAGCCAUGCUGAACUCAUGAGGCAGGAAAGGAUAGAAGCCUUUCAGAGCCUGAGCCAAGUUCCUCCUCACAGAAGCACAGAGGACACUUACUCCAUCUCUGAAAAAGCUGCCCACACCCCACCUCCAUCCAGCCUUCCAAAAGCCACCACGAAUGACCCGUAGGAGGGGCAGAGUGUGCCACUUGCUACGGACCAGAACCUCUGGGGAGCGGGGAUCAUCUCUGUGUCUCUCUGCUUCAACUGCAUUUAAAAUGAACAUUCUUAAUGAUAAACCUUUCCGUGUGUAAAGAAGGGCGUGGAAAAAUGUAUGUACUGGAGACUCGGGUAAUGACUUUCUAAGUGUGGAAAAUUUUCCCCCAAAGUGUUUCCAAAUAUAGAAAAGUCACAUAAUAAAUGAUGAGGGCUCAUAAACCUUUCUGGCAGCAGUUGCAGGGGUCAGAACAAGGAAGAAGGAAUUCCCAGCUCCUAGGGCCUCGCAUCCCACACUGUCUUCUGGGCUACUGUGCAACCAAUGGUUCCGUAUCUGUACGUACCCAGGGGCUCCUUAGAUAAAUAAUUGAAGUGAAAUAUCAAA